CUGGUGAAGCCCUCACAGACCCUCUCCCUCAUGUGUGUCAUCUCUGCAUUCUCCAUCACAACCAGUGCUUCCUCCUGGAGCUGCAUCCAUCAGCCCCUCUCUGGGAGGGAAUGGAGUGGAUUGGGUGCAUAGGUCAUGAAGGGAGCACACAUUACUCCCCUUUCCUCAAGAGUCCAGUCACCAUCCCCAGAUCCAUGUCCAAAAACAGUUCUUCCUACAGCUGAGCUACAUGAGC
rnacentral:lncRNA from 1 species